rnacentral:rRNA from 1 species
GCGGAAGGAUCAUUAUUGAAUCAAACUCUGGCAAGAUUGUUGCUGGCCCAUAGGGCAUGUGCACAUCUGUAUUAUUGCCAGCUUUUGUUCAUAUUUUNCUGUGCAUCUUUGUAGGCACCUUGGAUUGAGAGACUUUCACUGGUUUCUUGCUGACAGAAAUGUUAUCAAGGUGUCUAUGCCUUUUGUACAAAUUCCAAUGCAUGUCUUAUAGAAUGGAUAUAGGCUUUUGUUCUUCAUAAGCCUUUUGAGCAAAGUUUAAAUACAACUUUCAACAAUGGAUCUCUUGGCUCUUGCAUCGAUGAAGAACGCAGCGAAAUGCGAUAAGUAAUGUGAAUUGCAGAAUUCAGUGAAUCAUUGAAUAUUUGAACGCAUCUUGCACUCCUUGGUAUUCUGAGGAGUAUGCCUGUUUGAGUGUCAUUUAAAUUCUCAAAAUCCUCUCAGAAUCUUGGGAGGUGUUUUGGACAUUGGGAGUUGCAGGUCUURUGAAGGCCAGCUCUCCUCAAAUGAAUUAGUAGAGGAAAGUACAGUGUUCUUCUCCAUUGAUGUGAUACAAUUGUCUACACCAGGAAAAGAUACCUUUUGUCCUCUGCUUUCUAAUUAACCAUUCAUUGGUUAGUAUGUCUUUGAGACAUAAUUGACACACUUGACCUCAAA